rnacentral:rRNA from 1 species
UACGAAGGGGGGCUAGCGUUGCUCGGAAUCACUGGGCGUAAAGCGCACGUAGGCGGAUUGCUAAGUCAGGGGUGAAAUCCUGGAGCUCAACUCCAGAACUGCCCUUGAUACUGAAGAUCUUGAGUUCGGGAGAGGUGAGUGGAACUGCGAGUGUAGAGGUGAAAUUCGUAGAUAUUCGCAAGAACACCAGUGGCGAAGGCGGCUCACUGGCCCGAUACUGACGCUGAGGCACGAAAGCGUGG